UACGGAGGGUGCAAGCGUUAUCCGGAUUCACUGGGUUUAAAGGGUGUGUAGGCGGGCUGUUAAGUCAGUGGUGAAAUCUCCGGGCUCAACCCGGAAACUGCCAUUGAUACUAUCAGUCUUGAAUAUUGUUGAGGUGGGCGGAAUAUGUCAUGUAGCGGUGAAAUGCAUAGAGAUGACAUAGAACACCGAUUGCGAAGGCAGCUCACUAAACAUGUAUUGACGCUGAGGCACGAAAGCGUGGGGAUCAGACAGG
rnacentral:rRNA from 1 species